UGGACAAACGCCCUCCUCCGACCCCCGGCC
rnacentral:sRNA from 1 species